rnacentral:rRNA from 1 species
UGUUGAGGAAGAUAAUGACGGUACUCAACAAGGAAGUGACGGCUAACUACGUGCCAGCAGCCGCGGUAAAACGUAGGUCACAAGCGUUGUCCGGAAUUACUGGGUGUAAAGGGAGCGCAGGCGGGAAGACAAGUUGGAAGUGAAAUCCAUGGGCUCAACCCAUGAACUGCUUUCAAAACUGUUUUUCUUGAGUAGUGCAGAGGUAGGCGGAAUUCCCGGUGUAGCGGUGGAAUGCGUAGAUAUCGGGAGGAACACCAGUGGCGAAGGCGGCCUACUGGGCACCAACUGACGCUGAGGCUCGAAAGUGUGGGUAGCAAACAGGAUUAGAUACCCUGGUAGUCCACACUGUAAACGAUGAUUACUAGGUGUUGGAGGAUUGACCCCUUCAGUGCCGCAGUUAACACAAUAAGUAAUCCACCUGGGGAGUACGACCGCAAGGUUGAAACUCAAAGGAAUUGACGGGGGCCCGCACAAGCAGUGGAGUAUGUGGUUUAAUUCGACGCAACGCGAAGAACCUUACCAAGUCUUGACAUCCUGCGACGGUGCUGGAAACAGUACUUUCCUUCGGGACGCAGAGACAGGUGGUGCAUGGUUGUCGUCAGCUCGUGUCGUGAGAUGUUGGGUUAAGUCCCGCAACGAGCGCAACCCUUAUGGUCAGUUACUACGCAAGAGGACUCUGGCCG